rnacentral:lncRNA from 1 species
CCUGGUUUCUUGUCUCUUACUCCUGGGUACCCAGGAGCUCAGAGGGUACAGAGUGGUAUACAGCUGGGUGAGGAGGGGCCAAGAGGACCUGCAUAUGCAGGCAGGUUCUCCAUUUUAUUGUGUUAAACUCCCCGCCUUGUGCUGGACCAGCAUAAGGAGGGGAGAAUGUGGACCCUGCGUAGGGGCUUCAGGUUCCUGUAAGCUCCUUUGAUGUUCUGGACCAGAUUUUCUCCGUUCAUCAGCCUGCUGCAAACAGAAGGAUCAAGAUUCAGUUCCCUUCUGGAGCCUUUUUGCUUUGAAACCUGGUGAUCAUGAAAGAGAAUGGACAGGGUAGACAUAGUUCUAGAGUGGGCAGGGCCAGAACCCUGUCUAAAAGCCACCCUUGUCCCUGUCCCCCAGAGGUGGAGGUUGUCAGCUCUCAGCAGGAGGUCGUUAGGAGCUGUCCACCUUUUCCAGAAGCCUUGUGUCCAGAGGCUGGAGCACACAGACUUCCAGUGAAUGUGGUCUAGCCUGUAGGAAACCAAAGAUGGGAGAUGGCUCCUAGGGGGCCAAUUCUUCCUCCCCUGUACCACAUCCCCUGGGCUCAGCUAUCUGUUUACAAACUGUCCGGAUGGAGGCCUGAGCAGGGUUGAGGGAGCUGGGGAUUCCCAUCACUAUUAGUUUGCUCUGUGUUUGUGUGCUGUCUAGAUCCUUGCAUUGAGCCAGCCGCUGCAGGCCUCCUACUCUCCCUGUGGGCUGGUCUUAUCGUAUGUAAACCCACUCCUGCUUUGUCUCCUUGGACCUGGAUUUCAGUUAAGUAUUUUGUAUCCCAAUACACUGUUUUGUCCUUGUGUAAAUAAACUUGUUUGUGGCAGUG